CAUUUAACACACCAUUUACAAAUAUCUAAUGUAUCUUAUAUGAAAUAUUUCAUCACUUUUUGGUAACAAUUCUUUUGUUCUUUUCAGACGUUAUAAAUACCAGUAUUCCCUGCAAUAUGCCCUAUGAUUGUCGCGAAAUUACUUGUAUUGCUCCUAAAGUUCCGUGGUGUGUUAAUUGUUAUUGUACAUGCGUUUAGGAUCAAAAUAAUUUUAUAUUGUCCGUUUUCGGGUAACCCCUUAGUUGAAGAGUCACUUUGCAACAUAGAGGUACUUGAUUCGAAACUUGGCAUUAGCAAAAAAAAAAAAAUUAUAUUGUUUGUAACUAUAUAAUUUUAUUAAUACAUUGUAAUAUUGGUACUCUUAUAUAUAAUUUUUACACACUUUUAUUUAUAUUUCUUGACCUUCCAAUAUUGGUUUAAUUAAGAUUGCAAUAAUAAAGAUUAGGUUUGGUUUAGUUAUAUUAGAUUUGGGUAGUAUAUAUAUGAAAUUAUAGGUUCAACCUCAUUGUCUCAAAUCUGUAACAAAAAAUAUGUGGUUGUGUCACAGUUAAGUUCUCUGUUUGGAGAAGGGUCUGUUUGUAAAAUAAAAUUAAAAAAUGUGCAAUAAAUUUGUUAUUGUCAUUUGGAGAAGGACCUUUGUUGAAUAAAUUAAAAGUGUGCCAUAAAUUUGUUUUGUCUUAAGCAAAUCAUGUUAUGAAUUUAUUUAAACUAGUGUAUGAGGCCGUGCUAAAGUACGAAAAAUAAAGGAGGUUUGGGUAUUAAGAAUCUUGAUUUGUUCAAUCAAGCUUUACAAUGCAAAUGGAAGUGGAGAGGGCUAAGUGAAGAUAACACUUUGUGGUGCAAGUUACUGGUGUAUAGAUAUGGGUCAAUGGCUGGAAAUUUUCUUCUAGAUGUCAACAAGAAUGUUAGAGCUCAAUCCAUUUGGUGGCGAGACAUCUUAAGGAUAGGAGGUGCAGAGAGCGGAGGUUGGUUCAAAUCCAACGUGUGCAAUAGGAUCCGGCAAUCUUAUCCGUUUUUGGCAAGAAAUAUGGUUAGGUCAUGAAAGUUUCAUGAAUUUAUUCCCUCAAUUGUAUGCAAAAUCGUUGCAACCUGAUGCUCCUAUAACUGCGUUCGGUUCUUGGAGUGAUGAUAAUUGGACUUGGAGUUUUGAUAUGGAUGCUGCAACUGAGAUGUCGAUUUUGUUAGCAGAUAUUAGGCCUAAGAAGGAAUGCUUGGAUCAUCGAAAAUGGCUCAUGAACCAUGCCGGUAUGUUUACGGUAAAAUCAGCAUAUUGUUUCUUGCAAAAUCGUGAUUCAUUUUUGACUAUUAAUAGUAAUGUGGUGGAUGCGCUGCAAGAUUUAUGGGUGAACGAUGUACCGUCUAAAGUGAACAUAUUUGGAUGAAGAUUGUUAUUAGCACGACUUCCGACCCGUAUGGCUUUGUUUGGAAGAAAAUUUAUAAGUGGAUGGCUGUGGAUUUCAUCCCCUUUGAGGAAGGGUGGAAGCACUUCAUGUCUUUUGUUGAUUUGGUGACGAGUAAGAGACUUGCUAAAACCCGUCAUGUCAUUUGGUUAGCAACUACUUGGAGCAUAUGGCGUACUCGGAAUAAUAUUGUGUUUCGAGGAGAUGUGUUUAAUUUGGAUGCUUUGAUAGAUCAAAUUAUCUUUAUUUCUUGGUUUUGGUUUA